UCUACUUCUGGUCAGCAGAGACCUGUUGGUGGUCUGAGACCUUUUCCCAGAGUCUGAACUGCAGAGAAUCUGGUUUGAAGCCCCUUACGAAGGUGCCAGAAUUGACCUAGAGAGUCUGAGCCAAUCUGUAGCCUGAGAAAGGUUUGUCUGUCUUGGAUGACAGACUUGUAGUGCUGACUGCCUGCUGGAUGGGCAGCCAGGCCUCAUGGAGUGAUUGGAGCAGUCCAGCAGUCCUCGUUAGAGGCUCCAAGGUUUGGGAAUAAGCUGUAGUGUUUUGAUCUGGGUGGAAGACAUGGUGCACUGGCAUCACCCUGUGUGUGGUAUCAGCAGAACAGGAAUCUAGAACUUGAUUCAAGCUUUACAUAGACAAAAAAGUUUUAGUCUGAUCCAAAGUACAUCUUUUAAAAUGAAUGGAUUGGACCAGAUUUCUCAAAUAGUUUUAGCUUUUAAUAAAUACCCUUUGAGCUCUCAGUGCCUACUGUGAGCAGACCCUUGAUUUUAGGAAACAGUUUUAAAAGUGAAAUGUACCUUCAUCCCCUUUAUGUUGCAGGUGAUUGAACCUGAUAAUUCAGUGAGCUGAGGUGAACAGAGCACUGUUUUAAGACACAGCUGAGUUGUUGAGGGACAGCUGCUCUUUGAUCCUAAGAGCUUUGCAAGGCUGAAUUUUAAAGAUCUCAGAAGAUGGUGUCUGCUUGCAUCCCGGUGCCAAGGUACCGACAGCAGGGGAUGUCACUGGAGUAGUUGUCUCUCAAGGAGAAGAUUGGCCCUGCCAGCCUGGGAUUGCUGCUGCUCCCCAGGUCAGUGAGAUGGGAAGGUCACAGGAGUAUGGGAGGUCUCCAGAUUCACUGAAGCUUUGUGUCCAGUUUCCAAAAGCUGCCAGCGGUGCUGCUCUGAGCUCUGCAGGUCCUGGGAGCUGGGAACUUGGCCUUGGAGUACAUAAAAAAAAGCAUUAGGGUAGCUGUACCAUGAGCUCACCUUUCCACUUCCCCAUCCUUCUCUCCCUGUGCAGUCUGACACAGCCUGUGUGUUUUCACUUUAUAUCACAGAAGUGUGAAGCCAGUCGUUGACAGAACCCUCUUUUUGGAGGAGGAGAGGAUUAUUGUUGGGUAUGUCCUAGAGCAAAAGCUUGAGAAUAAUGUCCUAGGGAAGUAAUGGAUAGAGCAAACUGUGAUUCCCACUCUGAGUGGGAACUCUGAGGUUCACCUUGGCUGGGGGAUGCCCUAGCCAGUUUGGACAGUGUUGCACAGAGCCGCUGGCCCAGCCCCAACCCAGCUCUGUGACUCUCCCUGUGUUGAAUGUGUGCCAUCAGGUUAACCCAUCACGUAACCAACCCAUGCCUCCUUACCUUUGUAGGCUGUUCUGCUUUGUGACCUUGCUGUCUCCUGCCAGUUAUAUUGCUGACAAAGCAGUGGGGGACAGGUCACAGCCUGCCUUGCUAACAGGGUUACAAAAUGGAUCCAGGACCAAACCCAUCCCACAAAACAUCAGGAUUAAAUAUCGAAAUCCUUGGUGUUGCCUAUGUGCUUAAAAGUGCUGAGGAAAAGGGCUUUAUCGAGAGGGAGGAUCAGCUGAAGCUGGGAAUUGACCUUCAGGCUCCUGGUGCUUCCCAGGGAGCAUCUGUGCUCCUGUGCCUUUGGCUCUGCUUCCAUGAGGCACUUCCAGCCCUCUUGCUAGACCAGAAGACUGGGGAUGGAAACAGAGCCCAGUGAACUGGGAGAACAAGGAAGAGGAGAGGAGCAGAUACUGGAGCAGAUUCAUUUUGGAGGUUGCUCAUUGAAGCAGUUCUCCAGUUAGGGCAGUGGGUGGGGGGAGUAUCCUGGGACCCUGUGUUCAUCCCUGUGCUUGCUGCAGCACUGCUCAGCCAGGCCAUGUGGAGGGAUAGAAUGUAAGAAAAUAAAGAUAGCGGAGAAGGUAGUCUCACACCUGAGGAGUUGCAGCUGUACUAAUCGCCAAAGAUUAGGAACAGGCCUGCCCUUAAUAGGCCACAGCUGUGUCCAAUAAGAAGAUGAGUGCUACAAAACAGUGGGUUAGCUGGUUCAGAGUUGGAGUUUGUUGGCUGUGCUGUGAAGAAGGAGCUGCUGUGAAGAAGGCAGCUCCUCCUGUGAGGAGCUGCCCAUGAAAAUCACCAAGAAGGUAUGGGAGCUUUGCAGUAAGAUGACAACAAGGCCAGGGGCUGGGAAGAGCUCACUGUUCCCUACUUCUGUCAGCCAGCAGCCUGUCCUUUUUGGAUUUGUGCUUUCUGUUGGGGCCACACUGUCCAUCCUACUGAUGAGCCUGGGUUAAAGCAGCCAGACUGUGACUGGAAGACUGCCCUUGUAGCUAAAUUGGCAGGACGAGCAGCCAGUGCCCCAGAGGUCAGAUGCCCCCCUCCCUCUCAUCCCUCAGAGCCCGUUUGUGAGCCAGUAAUGUGCUGACCAUAAUAAAGGGGAGCUCCCAUAAUGAGGGACUUUCCAUCAUUACCUGCAGCCAUUAAGGGGAGGAUCCUGUGCUUGUCAGUACUGGAAGCAGUCACUCUUCUGCCUUGGGGGCUGUUGAUAGCAGCACCUGAGGAGGUCAGUAAUCCUCCGGGAAGUGAGUGAUAACAUCCUGGCCUUUGAUUUAGCCUGCUCAAACAGGCCUAGUUCUUAAAUUUAAUGGGCUUUAGCAAAAAUUGUACUGUGUUAAUUUAAAACACUAAUACAAUGAAUUUUUUAUUAUGGCAAGUACUUCCACAGAAAAAUACAGAAUGAGGAAGACUUCUAAAAAUCUUAGUAAGGUAGGUGAUCUACUCUCAUAGUAUUCCGCAAGCUUUCAUAGCAAAACCUCAGGCUUUGUCCCAGCCAAAUGGAAACAUCUUUCCCCUGAUUUCAGCGUAACAAGUUGUUACUGGUUCAGUGAUGGGCUGAAGGUUGGGAAGUGGAUUGUAUUCACUGCUUCUUGGUUUUUUUUUUCUCUCUCAAGUCUCAUAGUUUAAAAGCAGAAAGGUAGCUGUAAACUACCUCUAGUCUGCAAAGUACAGCUGGCAGUGAGGCAUAAUCCCUGUGCACCUACCUGUGCUUCACAGGCUCACAACAGUUGUUGAAGCAGACUUUAUUUAAAUGAAAAUAAAUGGCAAGUAAGUAAAUGCACAGGAGGGAGUAAUUUAACCAACCCAUUGGAUGAAAGCCAGGGUAGGGCAAGAGGAGUCAUGAGGCUGUUUAAAUCUGUCAGAAAUGUGAUGACAUAAUGAGCAAUAAGUACUCUGUGUUCCAUCACUGGGCUCCUCCUACACUCACUUAGCAGUAUUUCUACAUUUCUCAUGCAACCUGUGUGACAAAUCCACACACACAUUGCACCCAAUUAGUGUCAAGCAUAAGAGCUGCUCUGCCUGUGUCUCACCUCUCUAAACCCCUCCUGGAAGCAAUUUUCCCAGUGUACAAAGAAUAAAUCACCAUUCUCCUUAAUCUCUCAGAGGAUGGUUCCCAAAUAAGGGCCAAGUAAACACAUGUAAUACAUGAUAAAGCAUUCUAAUUCAUUAGAUAAUCUUGUCAGCAGUAGAUGCAGGGUAUUAGCUGCUUUAAGUGUUCAGUGUUACAUGUAAUUAAAAAUGUCAGGGGAGGUGAGACAAGGCGCUUGAAUAGGCACUUGUAGAAAAGUAGUGGAAUCCCUGGCUUAAAAAACACAAACCUCAAUCCUUUCCCCCUCUAAAAAAAUACCAAAAAAUCACAGCAAACAAUCAAACAAACUGUUAAAGAAAAAUAAAUGCACAUCUCCUCUAGGAAGUAUAACUUACUUUACCUGUGUCCAAGUCACUCUAGAAGCAUCAGGAGAGCAGAAGGAGGGAAUACAAAACUUCCUGGGGUCCCAGCUGCACCAGGGUCAAACCAUUAGCUUAAUAUGACAAAUGACUUACAUGACCACACCUUGUGUAAUCAGUAGUCACUGUGCUAUUGGAGUGGCCCAAGGAGUCUCCUUUGACACUGGCUGUCACUCCUCACGUACAUUUUCAGGUGAUCAAACAUCUGCCACCUUGUGCUGAGGUGCACUGCAGGAAUUUGCCCCUUCCUUUCCUACUUUUGUUUCCUUGGGGUGAAGGCUGGCUGGUUUAGAAUAUGUCACCUGCCAGUGAGGGACCAGCUGUCCUGAACAACAAACAGCCCUGGGGUGGCUCCAGAUAAAAGUUGUGCUAUAAGAUGUGUGUCAGAGUGGCUGAGAAGGGCUGGAGGGGAGCACCAAUGACCUUACAGUGGGUAUAGGAUGAGCAGAGCCAGAGGCUCUGUGUUGUCAGCACCCUCUGUAGCUGCUGGGAACAGGUGGGGUGGAGGGCAUGUUUCCCUUUGCUGCUACUGGCCCAGCUGCACAGGCAGUCCACCUGUGUCAUCCUGGGAUGCCCUGAGCAGGAGGGGAGCGUGUCUGGGCUUCCAAACCCUCAUCAUGGUGUCCCUGCUUAGCUUCACCAGAGCCCAGGGCCACUCCCCACAGAGUGGAUUCUACAUCCCCAGUGCCCCCCUGAUGUCUCAGGGAGGCCAAACAAGUGGGGCUGGGUCUCCAACCUGAGCAGGGGCUGUGCUGGAGCAGCCACGGGCAGGGGUGAGGAGACCUGGCUGCUCAGGGCUGGUGAGGGCCAUUAGUGCCUGAGGCAGGCUGGGAGUCUGUGCCAGUGAGACUGGCCCUUGGCCACAUCCCCAGGGCUCAGGGACAUGGGAACACACGCCUGCAGUGUGACCUCAGCAGCCACAGGACAACGGAGCCACCGCCGCUCACCUUGUGAGUCAGGGGAGGCCACGUGAGGCCCCGGCCCCGAUGCCUUCCCGCCCUGGGAUCCCUGAGCCAGGAUCCUGGGCUGCCACACAGCUGUGGAGCUGCAUUUGACAACAGGAAGGCAAGCAGGAGGGUAGCAGAAGUAUUACCACAGCCCGAGGAGACUGGAGCAGGAAGGGUUUCAAACAGAAAUUGUGUGGAUCAGUUUUUAUUGUCUCACAGGAAGAAACUCAGCUUUCACCACAGCCACAGCUCCUCUAGGACGUCUUCCUGUGAAACCAACUGGUAGGACCAACCUAAGACUUGCAGGCACAGCAAUGGAGAAUUUGAAUGUCCUGAUCCCAGAUCUUACUGAAGAACAGCAAGAUGAAAAAUUGAAACUUCUGAAGAGUUUGGAAAAGAAUUUUGUAUAUUCAAAAGAGGACAAAAAGUCUGAAAACUCAUCCCAGGAGUCCAUGGAUGAAGAUACACAAGACAGUGAUGAGGAAGAUUUAGGAAGACAGAAGAGUGAAGGCCAGUUACUUGGAGGAAUACCAGCAGAGGUGGUUCCCUACAGAGAUUCAGAGAUUGCCAGAAGAGAAGAUUCAGAUGUAGAUGCGUAUGAGGAGAGCACUCACCCCCCUCAGUGCACAGUACGGUGGAUGGGCAUACGGAAGGAUGAUGAAUUCUUUCAUUUUGUCAUUCUUUGCUUUGCAAUUGGAGCUUUACUAGUUUGCUACUACUACCACAAAGACUGGACUAUUUCUCUUGGGAUUGGUUUAAUCACCUUUGCUUCCCUGGAAACCACUGGGAUAUACUUUGGUCUAGUGUACCGAAUUCGGAGUGUCCUUGACAGCUUUGUUCCUCUGAUUGACAAAUUCAGGCCAAGAGGCAUGAGGAAAGCUGCCUAGGAGGAGUAUUUCAGGAGAGUUCCCCAAACCUGGCUGUCCAGAUUUCCAGUACUAAAGGAACUGCUUUAUGAGAUCCUUUAGUCCUUCUCAUCAUCACCCUUGCUGUAGCAUCAGCCAAGCACUCAAAGCAACAAGUUUCUUUGAGGAGUUCCAACAUUUUUUCCUUCAGUUGUGCUGUCUGCACUACCCUUCAGCAUUCAGCUCCUACCUGAGCCCAGGGCUCUGCUGGGCUCACCUCCCCGUUGGCUCCCCAGGGCCUGGAACAUCUCAUU